rnacentral:snRNA from 1 species
UUCUGGCAGGGGAGAUACCAUGAUCACGAAGGUGGUUUUCCCAGGGCGAGGCUUAUCUAUUGCACUCCGGAUGUGCUGACCCCUGCGAUUUCCCCAAAUGUGGGAAACUCGACUGCAUAAUUUGUGGUAGUGGGGGACUGCGUUCGCGCUUUCCCCUG